rnacentral:tRNA from 1 species
UGACUCAGUGAGAUAGAGCAACGAUCUUCUAAGCCGUAGGCUACAGGUUCAAAUCCUGU